rnacentral:rRNA from 1 species
AGUGAACGCUGGCGGUAGGCCUAACACAUGCAAGUCGAACGGCAGCACAGAGGAGCUUGCUCCUUGGGUGGCGAGUGGCGGACGGGUGAGGAAUACAUCGGAAUCUACUCUGUCGUGGGGGAUAACGUAGGGAAACUUACGCUAAUACCGCAUACGACCUACGGGUGAAAGCAGGGGAUCUUCGGACCUUGCGCGAUUGAAUGAGCCGAUGUCGGAUUAGCUAGUUGGCGGGGUAAAGGCCCACCAAGGCGACGAUCCGUAGCUGGUCUGGGAGGAUGAUAAGCCACACUGGAACUGAGACACGGUCCAGACUCCUACGGGAGGCAGCAGUGGGGAAUAUUGGACAAUGGGCGCAAGCCUGAUCCAGCCAUACCGCGUGGGUGAAGAAGGCCUUCGGGUUGUAAAGCCCUUUUGUUGGGAAAGAAAUCCAGCUGGCUAAUACCCGGUUGGGAUGACGGUACCCAAAGAAUAAGCACCGGCUAACUUCGUGCCAGCCGCCGCCGUAACAC